rnacentral:tRNA from 1 species
GCCAGAGUGGCUCAACGGUAGAGCACUGCUUUCGUAAAGCAGGGGUUGCGGGUUCGAUUCCCGCCUCUGGCUCCA